rnacentral:lncRNA from 10 species
CAACAUGGCAGCCAUUCUCUACUCUGCAAGCCUGUCUUUAUGUCAUCUCUCCCUCACUAUUUCUCUUUAGCACUUUCUCCUUGUUCUUAGGAUGAAGGCACAAUUUUGUAACACGCCUCCAGUUGUGGCUUUCGGAUGGACACAGUGUAUCACGUUAUCAAGUCAGGUAGGCUUUACUGCACACUUUCUUGGAGACCACACUGGUGUAUCUGAAAGGUCACUGGGCUGGGAGGAAGAGAGACAGGUCCUGUUUCAGAUUGUAACUUUACUUUCCUCAUUUAUGAAAUGAAGGUGUUAUCUAAGGAUCAUUCAGGUUCUAAGAAGGCCUUGUCCUAGGAAGGUGCUAACGAUUUUCUAGUACUGUGCUGUGUUGAGAGAAGGAAGAUGAGCAUCAGUAGACAUUUCAGAAACAUACCAUCUGCCAUGACUUUUACAACAAUUCAAAAAGAAUGAUAACAACCGAAAAAUUUCUGAUCAAAGCCGUGGCUGAAUUUAUGAAUUUGAUUUUCAUGCAAAUUCAGCUCUGAACAUGAAGUGAGUCGUGAAAUGGAAUUUGAAGGGGUCGUGCUCCAUGCUCAUGACUGACUGAAACAUCCAUCUGCCCAGCUCUCUACCCAAGCCCCCAUGCUCACAAAGAAGAUCUCAUUCAGGCUGAUGUUUAUCAGCUGCUGCAAAAUGGACUUAAUCGUUUGAAAAUAGGAAAAUGAAGUUGUCUUUAGACUGGUAAUGAAACUCCUAUUUGUUUUGGAGACUUUUCCC